UAUGGCGACCGGCGCACGGGUGAGUAACACGUAUCCAACCUGCCGAUGACUCGGGGAUAGCCUUUCGAAAGAAAGAUUAGUACCCGAUGGCAUAGUUCUUCCGCAUGGUAGAACUAUUAAAGAAUUUCGGUCAUCGAUGGGGAUGCGUUCCAUUAGGUUGUUGGCGGGGUAACGGCCCACCAAGCCUUCGAUGGAUAGGGGUUCUGAGAGGAAGGUCCCCCACAUUGGAACUGAGACACGGUCCAA
rnacentral:rRNA from 1 species